rnacentral:rRNA from 1 species
CUAAGCGGAGGAGAAGAAACUAACCAGGAUUUCCCUAGUAACGGCGAGCGAACCGGAAAGAGCCCAGCUUGAAAAUCGGGGCCCCCCCGGGGCCCCGAAUUGUAGUCUGGAGACGCAUCCUCUGCAACGCACCGGACCCAAGUUCCCUGGAAAGGGACGUCAGAGAGGGUGACAACCCCGUCGAGUCUGGACCGUGUUGCUCCACGAGGUGUGGUCGUCGAGUCGGGCUGUUUGGGAAUGCAGCCCUAAGUGGGUGGUAAAUUCCAUCCAAGGCUAAAUAUUGGCAAGAGACCGAUAGCGAACAAGUACCGCGAGGGAAAGAUGAAAAGGACUUUGAAAAGAGAGUUAAAAAGUGCUUGAAAUUGCUGGGAGGGAAGCGAAUGGAAGCUGCGGGUGUGCCCCGGUUGGAUGUGGAACGGCUCGCGCUGGUCCGCCGCUCAACGCGGGGCACUGGUCAGCGUGGGCCAUCGCGGCGGGACAAGAGCGGGGUCUAGUUCCCCGCCUAUGCCGUUGCGGUGGCCGAGGAACGAAGCGCGCGGGGCUCGCGCCCCGUGGGAUCCGUCCCAACUGCGCGCUCGGGACGCUGGCGUAUUGAGCUCUUCAUCCGACCCGUCUUGAAACACGGACCAAGGAGUCUAACAUGUAUGCGAGCCGGUGGGCGGCAAACCCAUUGAGGCGCAAGGAAACUGACAGGUGGGACCCCUCGUAAAACAAGGGAGCACCAUCGACCGACCGUGAUCUUCUGUGAAAGGUUCGAGUGUGAGCAUACCUGUUGGGACCCGAAAGAUGGUGAACUAUGCCUGAGCAGGGCGAAGCCAGAGGAAACUCUGGUGGAGGCUCGUAGCGAUACUGACGUGCAAAUCGUUCGUCAGACUUGGGUAUAGGGGCGAAAGACUAAUCGAACCAUCUAGUAGCUGGUUCCCUCCGAAGUUUCCCUCAGGAUAGCUGGAGCUCGUGUAAGAGUUUUAUCAGGUAAAGCGAAUGAUUAGAGGCAUCGGGGGUGUAACACCCUCGACCUAUUCUCAAACUUUAAAUAGGUAAGCCGCCGGGGUUGCUUGGUUGAACCCCGGCACAGAAUGAGAGCUCCAAGUGGGCCAU